rnacentral:rRNA from 1 species
AUACGGAGGGGACAAGCGUUAUUCGGAAUCACUGGGCGUAAAGGACGCGUAGGCGGGUUAUUAAGUCGGGUGUGAAAUCCAAUGGCCCAACCAUUGAACUGCAUUCGAAACUGAUAACCUAGAGUAUGGAAGGGGCAGGUGGAAUUAGUGGUGUAGGGGUAAAAUCCGUAGAUAUCACUAGGAAUACCGAAAGCGAAGGCGACCUGCUGGGACAUUACUGACGCUGAGGCGUGAAAGCGUGGGGAGCAAACAGGAUUAGAUACCCCGGUAGUCC